rnacentral:rRNA from 1 species
CCUACGGGUGGCAGCAGUGAGGAAUAUUGGUCAAUGGACGAGAGUCUGAACCAGCCAAGUAGCGUGAAGGAUGACUGCCCUAUGGGCGGUAAACUUCUUUUAUAAAGGAAUAAAACGAGGCACGUGUGCCUUUUUGCAUGGACUUUAUGAAUAAGGAUCGGCUAACUCCGUGCCCGCAGCCGCGGUAAUCCGGAGGAUCCGAGCGUUAUCCGGAUUUAUUGGGUUUAAAGGGACGGUAGAAGGGUUGUUAAGUUAGUUGGGAAAAUGUGCGGCUAAAACGGAAAAUUGCAAUUGAUACUGGCAGUCUUGAGUACAGUUGAGGUAGGCGGAAUUCGUGGUGUAGCGGUGAAAUGCUUAGAUAUUACGAAGAACCCCGAUUGCGAAGGCAGCUUACUAGACUGUGACUGACAUUGAUGCUCGAAAGUGUGGGUAUCAAACAGGAUUAGAUACCCGAGUAGUC